AUGUUAAAAUAGAAAAUUAUUUUUCAGGAAAAGACUCUUUUAUCAGCAAAACUAGAUUUAGAAUUAGAGUUGAUGUUUUGCGCAGCUAUAAUUUCUAUAAUUAUGGUAAAAUGAACUCAGUAAUGCUAGUAUGACAUGAUUAUUCAGUUUUGUGUUUUUAAACGUACCAAGACACCUCAAGAUUAUGUACAUUGCUGAUAAAGCUACUAAGAUUAAAUGGGUUAUGCAAAUUCUAAUAGUAAAGCUACUAUAGUUUGAUGUCAAAUCUUGCCGAAUUGGGAAAACUAUUUUCUUCUUGUAGCUAUUGAUGUCAGUUGAUAAUCUUAUUACUAUGUAUUAGCAGCAAAACAUAACGUGAUCCUUGUUUUUGUUCAUGUAGUUUUCCAUUUUGAAUAAUAGAUCUUAAUAAGAUUGUGGAUGCAUGAAGUAUUGAUGGGAUUCUUGCUGUAAAUUAUGCAAAUCAUGCAUAUUAAGAGGAUAUUGAUGAGUGAUUUAACUAUGACACACAUUUUCUUUUAUUCUUAGAAUUAUGGCAUGUUAAUUUAACAAUGUGAAAAGUUGUUUUGUGAAGUCUGUGUAGUGUGUACUCUGACCUCGCAGUUUGGAGAUUCUAUUGUAUUCUUUUACGUGUUUCAAAAAAAAUAAGAGGAGAUUGAUGAGUGAUUUAUAUAUAAUUCACCUUUUCUUUUCUUAGAGUUGACAUGUUAAUUUAACAAUGUGAAAAUCAGUUGUGUGCUGUCUGUGUAGUGUUUAGUCUGACCGGACAGUCUGGAGAUUCCUUACCUAUUGUAUUCUUGUUUAUUUUCUGCAGAUUCUUGUAAUCAUUUACUAGGAUGCCUCCUGAUGGGAAAAAACAUUAUAUACCUCCAACCCAUGUACUCAGCAACCUUCCCGAGAGUGUGAUUGAUGAAAUUUUAAUGAGGUUGCCUGUACGAGAUGCUGAUAGGACAAGCAUCUUAUCAAAAAAAUGGAGAUGUAAUUGGUGCAGAAUCCCACAGUUAACACUUGAUAGAACACUUUGGAAAACAACAGAGGACAUAAUAUCCCCUACAAUUGGAUUUACUAACAUUGUUUAUCACCUCUUGACCCGUCAUACGGACAAAUUGCCAAGUUUACCCUCGACAUUACUUAUCUGAAAACAUGUCCUAAUAUUGACAACUUGUUACAUUUCCUCUCGAGGAAUGGCAUUCAACAUGUUGUUCUUAAACCUCCAUUUGGUAACCGAUACAAACUGCCUUCUUCAUUUUUCGCAAGUUUGCGUUUGAGGCAUUUGACUCUCCAAAGAUGUCUAAUACGUCCUCCACCAGUCUUUAAGGGAUUUGAUGGGUUAAUUAAUUUAGAACUAACUGAUGUCUUGAUUUCUUCUGAAUUUCUUGGAAGUUUAAUCUCCCAUGCCCCGUUGCUUCAACAUUUGGUGCUAGAACACUUAAAUAAUUCAAACACCAUUGAAAUCAGUGCUCCCAAGCUGAGGUCAUUUGUCUUCGCAGGCAAUAUAGAUUUUGUACAUCUAGAAAAUGUCCCUCUACUUUCCAAUGUUUCAUAUAAGCCUACAGAAUUUUCUAUAGAGGCGGUACAUGAUCUUGCCAAGAUUUUUGAGUCUAUUCCUUCUCUUGAGAAUCUCUGUUGGAAUCACUUCAAUGUCGAGGUAAUGUUGCUUCAUAACUUAAUUGUAAUGCAUUUUCGUAGAUGUACUGUCUUUUGGGCUUUGAGUCAUCCUGGUUUUUGACAUGACGUGGAUACUGGACCAGCUGAAGUUAUACCAACAAGGUUUCCGUAUGCUCUUAACUGUCUUAAACACCUUUACAUAUCUUGGAUUACUUUGGGAGAAUUCCUUGAGCUUUCUUUUGCUCUUUGCUUGAUAAGAAACUCCCCAAAUUUAGAAGAAAUUGGAAUUAAGGUGUAUGUCGAUCCUGAUGAGGAGUAUUGUGAACCUGUGCCCCAGGAUGUUGCUGAUGAUAUUCCUGCAAGCUUCUCAGAUAUGACAUUUAAUCAACUGAAGACAGUUGAGAUUUGCGGUGUAGCAGGAACAAAGGCCGAAAUGCAGCUUAUCAAGGUUUUAUUGGCCAAGUCUCCUGUACUGGUCAGAAUGGUAAUCAAGCCCUGUAUUAUGGAAGAUAAAAAAUCUCUCAAAGUACUCACAGAGAUAACAAAAUUUCACCGGGCGUCAUCUAGAGCAGAAGUUGUGUAUAAUGUAGAUUAGCAUCCAUAUCAUAAUCCUGCUUGAUCUUCACGAGUCUUUAAUUAAUCAGAUCAUGGUCUUUGGCUAAAAUGUUCUGGGAAGUUAAAAAGUGAAAAUAGAAAAGAAUGUUGAUGAAGUAGUAAGGCUGUGUUUUGCCUUUUCCAUAGGGUACUGUGAAGACUCUAUCAGGUUGGGAACACAAGUGAAUCCUGAUGGAUGUUUUGACUAAUCUGUUUCAUAACACUAAGUGAGAAAUGGUUUUUACAUUUCAUGACUGUUCUUGAAAUAUCUAUGAAAUGAGACUUCGGUUGUUUGUUUCAAAGUUA